AAAUUUUGAUUUGAAGCCAAAAGUUGAUUCUGAGUGAAGCGGUCUCACACAAUUCAUUGAAAUUCCGUACUUUAGGAAAUAAUUUCUUUUGGGCCAUUUGUUGGGCCGGAUUUAGGUUUUCCGACCUAGUUUGAAUUAUAAGUGCAAUCCUUAUUGUUUAAAAGGGAAAGUCGUGGUAAUAUAGAGGAUCACACCUUAUUCACGAUAACUUUUUGCUUUGUGCGAUUAUGAAGAGGAACUAAUCUUUUAGAGUCAAUCUGCUGUAACCGAAUU
rnacentral:lncRNA from 1 species